UCACCAGGGUGCAAAGAGGGGCGCUUUACAUUCGCCUACCAGCACCGUACUCAAGCAGUCCCACCCGUUGUUACGACCCGCAAAUCGACCGCUACUACAACGUCGGAGAUGUCUGGUCUUCUGCCUACUCGAGAUGUAAACUCAGUACCUGUGUCAACAUCGACGGAGUCCUCAACGUCGAGCGAUACUCGUGUCCGCUUGUGGCAAAGAACGUCGAUUUCGACCUGCUCAAGUCGGGGAACUACUACUGUCGCCAGGCCUGGGGCAACCGGAACAAGCAGUUCCCCUCCUGCUGCCCCAGUCUCCAGUGCAAGCACUACGUGAAGGGAAAGCUGGAGCCGCUACCCAAACACAUGUACCCCUUGCUGCACUGAUCAGCAUUUGGAUAUUUUGUUGUGUAUUACCUCGAGCAUAACUGUGCGUUUACUGCCCUGCACAAGAGAUUAUCAUCAGCAGUGAUUCAUGGAAAACAUUGUAUCCUCCUCCACAUCAUCAUAAGCGGUAGUGAUAGUUAGUAACGGUGAAUGAUGCACCACUCAAUGC